rnacentral:rRNA from 1 species
GAACGAACGCUGGCAGCGUGGAUUAGGCAUGCAAGUCGAACGAGAUUCCCGUGUGUAGCAAUACAUAUGGGAUGACAGUGGCGAAAGGGCGAGUAACACGUGGGCAAUCUGCCUCAAAGAUGGGGAUAACCCGCCGAAAGGUGGUCUAAUACCCGAUGGGGUCCCUCAACGCAUGUUGAGGUGAUUAAAGGUGGGGACCGCAAGGCCUGCCACUUUGAGAGGAGCCCGCGUCCCAUCAGCUAGUUGGUGAGGUAACGGCCCACCAAGGCUUACGGGUAGCUGGUCUGAGAGGAUGGUCAGCCGCACUGGGACUGAGAUACUGCCCAGACUCCUACGGGAGGCUGCAGUCGAGGAUCUUUUGCAAUGGGCGCAAGCCUGACAAAGCGACGCUGCGUGGAGGAUGAAGGCCUUCGGGUUGUAAACUCCUGUCAUUCGGGAACAAUUGCCGGUUAGUUAAAAGCUGAUCGGCUUGAUGGUACCGGAAGAGGAAGCCACGGCUAACUCUGUGCCAGCAGCCGCGGUAAUACAGAGGUGGCGAGCGUUGUUCGGAUUUACUGGGCGUAAAGGGUGCGUAGGUGGCUCUGUGUGUCGGACGUGAAAUCCCACCGCCUAACGGUGGAACUGCGUUCGAAACUGCAGGGCUUGAGUGCAGGAGGGGAGAGCGGAAUACUNNNNNGUAGCGGUGAAAUGCGUUGAUAUCAAGUAGAACACCGGUGGCGUAGGCGGCUCUCUNGAAUGCAACUGACACUGAGGCACGAAAGUCGGGGGAGCAAACAGGAUUAGAUACCCUGGGUAGUCUCGACUGUAAACGGUGUACACUUGGUGUGGGCGGUAUUGACCCCGCCCGUGCCGGAGCUAACGCGUUAAGUGUACCGCCUGGGGAGUACGGCCGCAAGGUUAAAACUCAAAGAAAUUGACGGGGGCCCGCACAAGCGGAGGAGCAUGUGGCUUAAUUCGAUGCAACGCGAAGAACCUUACCAGGGUUUGACAUGCAGCUGCAAGCUUUCCGAAAGGAAAGCCGCCUUCGAGGGUGCUGCACAGGUGCUGCAUGGCUGUCGUCAGUUCGUGCCGUGAGGUGUUGGGUUAAGUCCCGCAACGAACGCAACCCCUAUGUCUAGUUGCCACCGCGCAAGCGAGCACUCUAGACAGACUGCCCAUUUUAAGUGGGAGGAAGGUGGGGAUGACGUCAAGUCAGUAUGGCCUUUAUACCCUGGGCUGCACACGUGCUACAAUGGUCGGUACAGAAGGACGCGAGACCGCGAGGUGGAGCAAAUCCAGAAAAACCGACCCCAGUUCAGAUUGAAGGUUGCAACUCGCCUUCAUGAAGCCGGAUUCGCUAGUAAUGGCGUAUCAGCUACGACGCCGUGAAUACGUUCCCGGGCC